GCACCUGUGGAGCAGAAGUCCAGCUCAUUCCACUCCCAGUGGCCCAACCGUUGGAACCUUAUGGGUUACGGAAAGACCCGGGUGCAAAUCCCGGCGGGUGCA